AAGUAAGGUCAUGUGGCCUAAUUUUAGCCCAUGAGAUGCUGAAAGAUAUUUGCAAAAGUUUGGUAGUCAUCUGUACUGUUAAGGAAUAGCUUUCAGGGAGCACGUGAAGUUAUGGACACAAAGAGGACAGUCCCAGACUGGGAAAGAAGUUCUACAGAUCUUCAUCAGACAAUGGCGCGGCAUGUGAGUUCAUCUCAAAUCUCCCUAGAGCCCAGGCUGGAGUACCAAGAGAGGCCAGCAAAAACGCUUCAGCGUUUAUACUUUAAAAGAAAACAAAAAAGUAAGCAAGCAGGCCCUCGAUCAGUGAUAAAGAUCAAAGAGGAAGCAGAAGUUGGAAAGUUCUACCGAAGUGUGUUUCUAAGGUCCCAAGUACUGUGUCUCAAUGAAGGUGACCCUAAACCCCCAAAUUACUAUAAUGAUGAUAAUAACUUGCAUGUGCAUUUGGUGUAUUUUUAUAUGUACUGCUUUUUUUCCCCAAUCUUAUUUCUUUUUACUUGAAGGAAAAUUGCUUCAUAAUAUUGUUUUGGCCUCCAUCAUACAUCAACAUGAGUCAGCCAUAGGUUUACACCUUCCCACCUCCUACCCUUCUCACCCGUCUAGGGUAUUAUAGAGGCCCCAUCUGAGUUCCCUGAGUCAUACAGCAAAUUCCCAUUAGUUAUCUAUUUACAUAUGGUAAUUAUAUAUGAUAAUAACUUAUAUGGGCAUAGCACUUUGCUCUUUUAGUACUGCUCUUUUAUGUACUGCUUAUUUAUAUAUUUUUUGGUGUUAAAUAGUACCCUUUUAAUGAAGACUUCUCCAUGAACUAUAUUUCAUACUGAUGUCAUAAUUCAUCCAUUUUGUUGCUUUUUCAACAAAUACCUUCAUAUCUCCUACUACCUGAAGAGACAGCAUCUUAAAUUAUCUAAUCCUGCCACUAUUUUACUUUAUGAGCAUCAGUCUUGGCCCAGCAGACAGGUCUUGCUGUUUGAGAAUGGGUUCUCAGACAGCUUCUGUGGCCCACAUGGGGACCACUGCAGUGUGAGGCACUCUGUAAACUUCACAGGGUGAUGGAGACUCAGACUUUUGUCCAGAACUACGAAUAUGGAUUUGACACUUAGAACUUUAAAAUUAUCUGUCUGUCACAGGCCAGUGACUUAGGCUAUUUGUAUAGUAAAAAGUGCAAUGAAGGUUUCCUUUUGCAGCGUGAUAUUAAACAUCAUCAAAUUUUAUAAAUACUUCUUAAAUAUUUUUGUCGGAGGAAAGAUCUGCGACUUUCAACUGUAAUUUUUAAAUGUUCAAUAUGUAUAGACAAGCUGCUGUAUUUUAUAUAAAUGAAUAUAUUCAUAGAACAAACUUUAAAUUUCAGAAAACAACACAGAUUGUAGGAGUUUAAAUUCCUGUUCAUAUUCCAGUAGCAAUGAGUAAUGUGUCCAUUUUAAGAAUAGUGGCAAAUGAUUGAGGAGGAGUGCAUUUCUACCCCUGCUGGAGGCUGCUAUUUUGUGGAGAAGCAUUUGUGGUCUGGUGACUCAAGAAGAGAGAUAGGUAGCUACCCAUAUAUUCUAAAUUCUGCUUCCACCGCCCAUCUGUCCCAGACUCAUGCUGAGACCUUGUCUGGGUAACACUACCCUCUACUGGGUGGAACCAGAACAACAACUCAAUCCCUUUAAUCGAGUGAAAGGUGUUGCAGUAUUUAAACUCUAAGAGAGACCCUCAGGGAUUGUUUUUACAGAUGAGAAGACUGACAUUCAGAAGGCAGAAAUGUCAGGACUGUGACUCUUAACAGUUUACAUCAGAGGCCAAAGAACUCUGCUUUCCUUACUCUUUAGCUGGCUAAUUUCCCCAAAAUUUCAGAGUAGGGUAGAGGCUCUGAACACAACACACAGCAAAAAUACAAAUGUAUUACUUGCAGCUAUAGGAAUAUUUGUUAAUAUUUAUUAAUGUCCCCUGCUGCAUGAAUUAUCUGUGCUAUUUAAACCUAGCACAGAUAAAUUUUUUUUAGAUAAGCUUAUCAUAGACCAUUGCAUUAUUUGUAAAACUACUUGAAUACACUGCUUUCUUUUUUAUCUUUUGUAAAUGUUUCACCAUUUGCUGCUUCAACAAGAAUGUGUCUUCAGAUGGAACUUCGUCUUACGGGCCUAUGGGGCUUUGAUAAUGGCACAUUUUAAGAGCAGGGUUUCUCUAAUUGUAAUACCAAUUAAGGCACCCUUACCUUAAUUGGUAUCCUUACUCCUUCUCCUAUGUUUUCAUGAGACAUUAUGUGUUUAGCUCGAGCAUAAAAUGGGCCACAUGAACAGAUGGAGGAAGCAGCCAUCCAUAUGGGAAAGAGGGGAUUGGAUAGGCCAAAGUAUUGGGUGACUUAAAUUACAGUAACACCUGAUCUCUCAGUAAUCCAAAUGUUGAUCAGUCACACUUAUUUAGCACACAGUUAACCUAGAAGCAGGCGAUAACAGCAGCAGAAAUAUCCCAUAAGAGGAGCCCUAGUGCUCUCACUUAAUGUCUGUAUUCUCUUAUUUCACAUAAAUUCUUUAAAAUAGGCCCAAAGUACAUGAAGACAGCAGAGUCUGGGGUCAGAGAAGGAGCGGUGGUGGAAUGAGCUGUUAUAGGCAUGUGCACACACAGGAGUUCAGAGCAACAGCUGGUGGUAUGACAGAAAGCAGGAGACAAAGCAAGAGAGUUAUCUAAAAGUAUUGUGACCUCAAGAUCACUAACAAACAACCCUUUGCAAAGGGAUCAAAAUUCACACCUACCUCAGGAGAGUCUGAGUUAAUUUUAUAAUAAUGACCUGCAUGUAUGCUAAGUCACUUCAGUUGUGUCUGACUGUUUGUGAACCCAUGGACUGAAGCCCUCCAGGCUCCUCUGUCCAUGGGAUUCUCUAGGCAAGAAUACUGGAGUGGGUUGCCAUGCCCUCCUCCAGGGGAUCUUCCUACCCCAGGGUUUGAACCCACAUCUCUUACGUCUCCUGUAUUGGCAGGUGGGUUCUUUACUACUAAAGUCAUCUAGAAAGCCCAAUGAGUGAGUGAAAGUCACUCAAUCGUGUCUGACUCUUUGUAACCCCAUGGACUAUACAGUCCAUGGAAAUCUCCAGGCCAGAAUACUAGAGUGGAUAGCCUUUCCCUUCCCCAGGGGAUCUUCCCAACCCAGGGAUCAAACCCAGGUAUCCCGCAUUGCAGGCAGAUUCUUUACCAGCUGAGCCACAAGGGAAGCCCAAGAACACUGGAGCGGGUAGCCUAUCCCUUCUCCAGUGGAUCUUCUUGACCCAGGAAUCGAACCGGGGUCUCCUGAAUUGUAGGCAGAUUCUUUACCAACUGAGCUAUCAGGGAAGCCCAUGACCUAGAAUGGUUUAAAAAAAAAAGUUGUGUUCUAUUUAUUAAUAUUUAAUUCCAUUUUAAAGUUAAAAAAAAAACCAGCUCCAUAGUCUUCAUUUAUUUAGAUUUCUAUUCAAAAGCAGUUAGAAUGACUAUCCAGAAUAACCCAUAAGAUUACAAGAACUUGAAUGAGAACCUACUAUAUAGCACAGGGAACUCAAGUCUCAAAAAGACAGUAUAUAUGUACAUAUAUAGCUGAUUCAUUCUGCUAUACAGCAGAAAUUAAUACAACAUUGUAAAUCAACUAUACUCUAAAUAAAAUUUUUAAAAAUGUUUGAGAACUAGAUGUA
rnacentral:lncRNA from 1 species